AGUGAACGCUGGCGAUAGGCCUAACACAUGCAAGUCGAACGGCAGCACAGUAAGAGCUUGCUCUUACGGGUGGCGAGUGGCGGACGGGUGAGGCAUACAUCGGAAUCUACUUUUUCGUGGGGGAUAACGUAGGGAAACUUACGCUAAUACCGCAUACGACCUACGGGUGAAAGCAGUGGAUCUUCGGACCUUGCGCGAUUGAAUGAGCCGAUGUCGGAUUAGCUAGUUGGCGGGGUAAAGGCCCACCAAGGCGACGAUCCGUAGCUGGUCUGAGAGGAUGAUCAGCCACACUGGAACUGAGACACGGUCCAGACUCCUACGGGAGGCAGCAGUGGGGAAUAUUGGACAAUGGGCGCAAGCCUGAUCCAGCCAUACCGCGUGAGUGAAGAAGGCCUUCGGGUUGUAAAGCCCUUUUGUUGGGAAAGAAAAGCAGCAGGUUAAUACCCCGCUGUUCUGACGGUACCCAAAGAAUAAGCACCGGCUAACUUCGUG
rnacentral:rRNA from 1 species